AGGAAAGGGACCAGGAGCAGCUGGCUUGCCUUGUGAACAGUGACUUGGGAUCUUUCUGUCCUGUCUCUUGCAGUUGGUACCAACAAAGAGUUCUGCUGCCUCGUCUAUACCUCCUGGCAGAUUCCACAAAAGUUCAUAGUUGACUAUUCUGAAACCAGCCCCCAGUGCCCCAAGCCAGGUGUCAUCCUCCUAACCAAGAGGGGCCGGCAGAUCUGUGCUGACCCCAAUAAGAAGUGGGUCCAGAAAUACAUCAGCAACCUGAAGCUGGAUGCCUGAGGGACCUGGAAGCUGUGAGGACCCGGUGACCUUGGUGGGCCCAGGAGGGAGCAGGAGCCUGAGCCAGGGCAAUGACCCUGCCACCCUGGAGGCCACCUCUUCUAAGAGUCCCAUCUGCUAUGCCCAGCCACAUUAACUAACUUUAAUCUUAGUUUAUGCAUCAUAUUUCAUUUUGAAAUUGAUUUCUAUUGUUGAACUGCAUUAUGAAAUUAGUAUUUUCUCUGACAUCUCAUGACAUUGACUUUAUCACUCUUUCCCCUUUUCCCUUCAACUCUUCGCACAUUCAAUGCGUGGAUCAAUCAGUGUGAUUAGCUUUCUCAGCAGACAUUGUGCCGUAUGUAUCAAAUGACAAAUCUUUAUGGAAUGGUUUUGCUCAGCACCACCUUUUAAUAUAUUGGCAGUACUUAUAUAAAAGGUAAACCAGCAUUCUCAUUUUGA
rnacentral:sRNA from 1 species